GGAUUUACUGGGCGUAAAGGGUGCGUAGGCGGUCUUUCAAGUCAGGAGUGAAAGGCUACGGCUCAACCGUAGUAAGCUCUUGAAACUGGGAGACUUGAGGGCAGGAGAGGAGAGUGGAAUUCCUAGUGUAGCGGUGAAAUGCGUAGAUAUUAGGAGGAACACCAGUUGCGAAGGCGGCUCUCUGGACUGUAACUGACGCUGAGG
rnacentral:rRNA from 1 species